CCUACGGGUGGCUGCAGUGGGGGAUAUUGCACAAUGGGGGAAACCCUGAUGCAGCGACGCCGCGUGGGCGAAGAUGUAUUUCGGUAGGUAAAGCCCUAUCAUCCGGGAAGAAGAAAUGACGGUACCUGCGUAAGAAGCACCGGCUAAAUACGUGCCAGCAGCCACGGUAAUACGUAGGGUGCAAGCGUUAUCCGGAUUUACUGGGUGUACAGGGAGCGCGGGCGGCACGGCAAGCAUGAUGUGAAGGCCCGCGGCCCAAGCGCGGGACUGCAUUGGGAACUACCGUGCUGGAGUGCGGUAGAGGUAGGAGGAAUGCCUAGUGUAGCGGUGAAAUGCGUAGAUAUUAGGCGGAACACCAGUGGCGAAGGCGGCCUACUGGACGGUGACUGACGCUGAGGCUCGAAAGCGUGGGGAGCAAACAGGAUUAGAUACCCCUGUAGUC
rnacentral:rRNA from 1 species